rnacentral:rRNA from 1 species
GACGAACGCUGGCGGCGUGCUUAACACAUGCAAGUCGAACGGUGAAGCGCCUUCCUUUUGGGUGGGGGGGGUGGGGUGGGGAAGGGGUGAUUAACCGGUAGGAAACUUGCCCCUUCUUCCGGGUUAACCCCAUGAAAGGUUGCCAAUACGGGGUAUUUUUGGUCCUUUGGAUUAUUGGGCCGGGGAAGGAUUUUGUUUGGGUGGGGGUGGGGCUCGCGGCCUAUCAGUUUGUUGGUGGGGUGUUGGCCUACCAAGGCGGUGACGGGUAGCCGGCCUGGGAGGGUGGACGGUCACACUGGGACUGAGACACGGCCCAGACUCCUACGGGAGGCAGCAGUGGGGAAUAUUGCACAAUGGGCGCAAGCCUGAUGCAGCGACGCCGCGUGAGGGAUGGAGGCCUUCGGGUUGUGAACCUCUUUCGCCAGUGAAGCAGGCCUGCCUCGUUUGUGGGUGGGUUGACGGUAGCUGGAUAAGAAGCGCCGGCUAACUACGUG